GAUCAUGGCUCAGAUUGAACGCUGGCGGCAUGCCUAACACAUGCAAGUCGAACGGUAACAGGCCUUCGGCGCUGACGAGUGGCGGACGGGUGCGUAACGCGUGGGAAUCUGCCCAAUAGUGGGGGAUAACCCGGGGAAACUCGGGCUAAUACCGCAUACUCCCCAAGGGGGAAAGCGGGGGACCGCAAGGCCUCGCGCUAUUGGAUGAGCCCGCGUCCGAUUAGCUAGUUGGUGGGGUAAAGGCCUACCAAGGCGACGAUCGG
rnacentral:rRNA from 1 species